AUUCCAGCUCCAAUAGCGUAUAUUAAAGUUGUUGCAGUUAAAAAGCUCGUAGUUGGAUUUCUGGUCUGAUGCCCUGGCCCGCCUCAAUUUCGAGGUGAGUGCCGGCUGUGCGUCUACCAUCCUUCUAGAAAACGUUCCUACCCUUCACUGGGCCGGGUUCGCGAUCUAGAUCUUUUACUUUGAAAAAAUUAGAGUGUUUAAAGCAGGCUUUUGCUAUGAAUACAUUAGCAUGGAAUAAUAAUCUAGGACUUCGGUUCUAUUUUGUUGGUUUCUAGUACUGAAGUAAUGAUUGAUAGGGAUAGUUGGGGGUGCUAGUAUUGAGCGGCCAGAGGUGAAAUUCUUGGAUUCGCUCAAGACUAACUUAUGCGAAAGCAUUCACCAAGGAUGUCUUCAUCA
rnacentral:rRNA from 1 species